CCCGUCUCUGGAUUGCAACUGAAGGGUUUCCAGUAUGCUACCAGUCUCGGCUACGGGAGGGAGAGUCAAGCAGUGGCUUAACCAUUCCAUUCCUAGCUUGAGCAGUGGCUAGUGAGUGGAAGACAAUCUGCUACAAGU